GGUUCCAUAGUGUAGUGGUUAGUACAUCUGCUUUACACACAGAAGACCCUGGGUUCGUUCCCCCAGUGGAGCCA
rnacentral:tRNA from 1 species